rnacentral:rRNA from 1 species
ACCUGAAACCGUGUACGUACAAGCAGUGGGAGCACAGAGCAAUCUGUGUGACUGCGUACCUUUUGUAUAAUGGGUCAGCGACUUAUAUUCUGUAGCAAGGUUAACCGAAUAGGGGAGCCGAAGGGAAACCGAGUCUUAACUGGGCGUUAAGUUGCAGGGUAUAGACCCGAAACCCGGUGAUCUAGCCAUGGGCAGGUUGAAGGUUGGGUAACACUAACUGGAGGACCGAACCGACUAAUGUUGAAAAAUUAGCGGAUGACUUGUGGCUGGGGGUGAAAGGCCAAUCAAACCGGGAGAUAGCUGGUUCUCCCCGAAAGCUAUUUAGGUAGCGCCUCGUGAAUUCAUCUCCGGGGGUAGAGCACUGUUUCGGCAAGGGGGUCAUCCCGACUUACCAACCCGAUGCAAACUGCGAAUACCGGAGAAUGUUAUCACGGGAGACACACGGCGGGUGCUAACGUCCGUCGUGAAGAGGGAAACAACCCAGACCGCCAGCUAAGGUCCCAAAGUCAUGGUUAAGUGGGAAACGAUGUGGGAAGGCCCAGACAGCCAGGAUGUUGGCUUAGAAGCAGCCAUCAUUUAAAGAAAGCGUAAUAGCUCACUGGUCGAGUCGGCCUGCGCGGAAGAUGUAACGGGGCUAAACCAUGCACCGAAGCUGCGGCAGCGACACUGUGUGUUGUUGGGUAGGGGAGCGUUCUGUAAGCCUGUGAAGGUGUGCUGUGAGGCAUGCUGGAGGUAUCAGAAGUGCGAAUGCUGACAUAAGUAACGAUAAAGCGGGUGAAAAGCCCGCUCGCCGGAAGACCAAGGGUUCCUGUCCAACGUUAAUCGGGGCAGGGUGAGUCGACCCCUAAGGCGAGGCCGAAAGGCGUAGUCGAUGGGAAACAGGUUAAUAUUCCUGUACUUGGUGUUACUGCGAAGGGGGGACGGAGAAGGCUAUGUUGGCCGGGCGACGGUUGUCCCGGUUUAAGCGUGUAGGCUGGUUUUCCAGGCAAAUCCGGAAAAUCAAGGCUGAGGCGUGAUGACGAGGCACUACGGUGCUGAAGCAACAAAUGCCCUGCUUCCAGGAAAAGCCUCUAAGCAUCAGGUAACAUCAAAUCGUACCCCAAACCGACACAGGUGGUCAGGUAGAGAAUACCAAGGCGCUUGAGAGAACUCGGGUGAAGGAACUAGGCAAAAUGGUGCCGUAACUUCGGGAGAAGGCACGCUGAUAUGUAGGUGAAGUCCCUCGCGGAUGGAGCUGAAAUCAGUCGAAGAUACCAGCUGGCUGCAACUGUUUAUUAAAAACACAGCACUGUGCAAACACGAAAGUGGACGUAUACGGUGUGACGCCUGCCCGGUGCCGGAAGGUUAAUUGAUGGGGUCAGCGCAAGCGAAGCUCUUGAUCGAAGCCCCGGUAAACGGCGGCCGUAACUAUAACGGUCCUAAGGUAGCGAAAUUCCUUGUCGGGUAAGUUCCGACCUGCACGAAUGGCGUAAUGAUGGCCAGGCUGUCUCCACCCGAGACUCAGUGAAAUUGAACUCGCUGUGAAGAUGCAGUGUACCCGCGGCAAGACGGAAAGACCCCGUGAACCUUUACUAUAGCUUGACACUGAACAUUGAGCCUUGAUGUGUAGGAUAGGUGGGAGGCUUUGAAGUGUGGACGCCAGUCUGCAUGGAGCCGACCUUGAAAUACCACCCUUUAAUGUUUGAUGUUCUAACGUGGACCCGUGAUCCGGGUUGCGGACAGUGUCUGGUGGGUAGUUUGACUGGGGCGGUCUCCUCCUAAAGAGUAACGGAGGAGCACGAAGGUUGGCUAAUCCUGGUCGGACAUCAGGAGGUUAGUGCAAUGGCAUAAGCCAGCUUGACUGCGAGCGUGACGGCGCGAGCAGGUGCGAAAGCAGGUCAUAGUGAUCCGGUGGUUCUGAAUGGAAGGGCCAUCGCUCAACGGAUAAAAGGUACUCCGGGGAUAACAGGCUGAUACCGCCCAAGAGUUCAUAUCGACGGCGGUGUUUGGCACCUCGAUGUCGGCUCAUCACAUCCUGGGGCUGAAGUAGGUCCCAAGGGUAUGGCUGUUCGCCAUUUAAAGUGGUACGCGAGCUGGGUUUAGAACGUCGUGAGACAGUUCGGUCCCUAUCUGCCGUGGGCGCUGGAGAACUGAGGGGGGCUGCUCCUAGUACGAGAGGACCGGAGUGGACGCAUCACUGGUGUUCGGGUUGUCAUGCCAAUGGCACUGCCCGGUAGCUAAAUGCGGAAGAGAUAAGUGCUGAAAGCAUCUAAGCACGAAACUUGCCCCGAGAUGAGUUCUCCCUGACCCUUUAAGGGUCCUGAAGGAACGUUGAAGACGACGACGUUGAUAGGCCGGGUGUGUAAGCGCAGCGAUGCGUUGAGCUAACCGGUACUAAUGAACCGUGAGGCUUAACCUUACAACGCCGAAGGUGUUU